CCUUGGAGGGAUGCUUUGAGAUCUACAUUAUAGUAGUCACCUCGCCCCAGCUGCCUGCUUUGCUCAUCCCACCUCAGGGCUUCAUCUUCAGUUAGUGUUUUAAGCAGAAAUUGAAGUGAAACUAAGGCUGAGAGAGCAGAUGAUUGAUUAAUGGAAGCAUAGGAAUUUGAGCCCUCUUCUUGGAUUCUAGUACUCACUGUAACAUGGGGACCCCCUUUCCUCUGACAGGGCCUGGUGGAGAGCUGAGACUGAAGAGGACCCCACUGUUCCAGGUGGCCUUGGAUACGUAGCUCCUGGCCAGACUUUCCACUCUGAUGGCUGCUACCAAAGCUGAGAGGUGAUUCUAACUGGACCAGAGCUGAGACCUGCUGGUUGAAAGGAAUCCACUUGUACAGUUCUGUCCUUUGGCCACUAGAGGGGAUGCAGGUCAAGAACUGUCAGUCCCUGGGCUCAGAGAAACACCACCGCAAGGGAGCGAAGGUGGCUUGCUGGCUGGAUCAAGACCUAUGAGCCACAGAAAGUCAACCUCACUUAAGAGAUUUGCCCUGAUUAAAGCCCUCACAAUCUUGGCCUCCUGCAGCAAGUGCCUCCUCUCUGCACCAGGGUAUUCUGAUCUGGUCCCUGCCUGGCUUCUUGUGCAGGCUCCAGCUCCCAGACACCUGCUUGGCUCUUUGCACUGCUCCUAUUGCGCUUCAUGGUUACUCUCUGUGGAGGUCAUCUUUCCUUCCAAGCCACAAGGCUGCUUCAUGGUAGAAUAAGUUCA